rnacentral:rRNA from 1 species
AUACGGAGGGUGCAAGCGUUAAUCGGAAUUACUGGGCGUAAAGCGUACGUAGGCGGCAAGUUAAGUUAGAUGUGAAAGCCACGGGCUCAACCUGGGAACUGCAUUUAAAACUGGCUUGCUAGAGUUGAGUAGAGGGGAGUGGAAUUUCAGGUGUAGCGGUGAAAUGCGUAGAGAUCUGAAGGAACACCAGUGGCGAAGGCGACUCCCUGGACUCGAACUGACGCUGAGGUACGAAAGCGUGGGUAGCAAACGGGAUUAGAAACCCUAGUAGUCC